rnacentral:misc_RNA from 1 species
GAUGAAGAACGCAGCGAAAUGCGAUAAGUAAUGUGAAUUGCAGAAUUCAGUGAAUCAUCGAAUCUUUGAACGCACCUUGCACCCUUUGGAAUUUUCCAAAGGGUAUGCUCGUUUGAGUGUCAUUGUACUCUCACACUCUCCGAUCCUUUGGAUAUGGGGAGCGGUGGACUUGGGUGCUUGCUGCUUCCUUGUGGCUCACCUGAAAUGCGUCAGUGCAUCUCUUGAUUGGACAUAGUACGGCGUGAUAAGUGUCUUCGCCGGCACCUCAUAAGAGGGUGGCCGAUCGGGAGCUCUGUGCUUUCAAACCGUCUUCGGACAAUCCCUGACAACUUGACCUCAAAUCGAGUAGGGCUACCCGCUGAACUUAAGCAUAUCAAUAAGCGGAGGA